GAGACGAGUGGCGAACUGGUGAGUAACACGUGGGUAACCUGCCCUUGAAGUAGGGGAUAACACUUGGAAACAGGUGCUAAUACCGUAUAACAACCAAAACCACCUGGUUUUGGUUUAAAAGACGGCUUCGGCUGUCACUUUAGGAUGGACCCGCGGCGUAUUAGCUUGUUGGUAAGGUAACGGCCUACCAAGGCGAUGAUACGUAGCCGACCUGAGAGGGUAAUCGGCCACAUUGGGACUGAGACACGGCCCAAACUCCUACGGGAGGCAGCAGUAGGGAAUCUUCCACAAUGGACGAAAGUCUGAUGGAGCAACGCCGCGUGAGUGAUGAAGGGUUUCGGCUCGUAAAACUCUGUUGUUGGAGAAGAACAGGUGUCAGAGUAACUGUUGACAUCUUGACGGUAUCCAACCAGAAAGCCACGGCUAACUACGUGCCAGCAGCCGCGGUAAUACGUAGGUGGCAAGCGUUGUCCGGAUUUAUUGGGCGUAAAGCGAGCGCAGGCGGUUUUUUAGGUCUGAUGUGAAAGCCUUCGGCUUAACCGGAGAAGUGCAUCGGAAACCGGGAGGCUUGAGUGCAGAAGAGGACAGUGGAACUCCAUGUGUAGCGGUGAAAUGCGUAGAUAUAUGGAAGAACACCAGUGGCGAAGGCGGCUGUCUGGUCUGUAACUGACGCUGAGGCUCGAAAGCAUGGGUAGCGAACAGGAUUAGAUAC
rnacentral:rRNA from 1 species